UACGGAGGGUGCAAGCGUUAAUCGGAUUUACUGGGCGUAAAGCGCACGUAGGUGGUUUGUUAAGUCGGAUGUGAAAUCCCCGGGCUCAACCUGGGAGCGGCAUUCGAUACUGGCAAACUGGAGUACGAGAGAGGGGGGUGGAAUUCCAGGUGUAGCGGUGAAAUGCGUAGAUAUCUGGAGGAACACCGGUGGCGAAGGCGGCCCCCUGGCUCGAUACUGACACUGAGGUGCGAAAGCGUGGGGAGCAAAC
rnacentral:rRNA from 1 species